rnacentral:rRNA from 1 species
UACGUAGGGGGCAAGCGUUGUCCGGAAUCAUUGGGCGUAAAGGGCGCGUAGGCGGCCUGGUAAGUAGGGGGUGAAAUCCUGCGGCUUAACCGCAGGGCUGCCUUCUAAACUGUCAGGCUUGAGCACGGUAGAGGCAGAUGGAAUUCCCGGUGUAGCGGUGGAAUGCGUAGAGAUCGGGAAGAACAUCAGUGGCGAAGGCGGUCUGCUGGGCCGUUGCUGACGCUGAGGCGCGACAGCGUGGGGAGCAAACAGG